UACGGGGGGAGCAAGCGUUGUUCGGAUUUACUGGGCGUAAAGGGCGCGUAGGCGGCCACCGCAAGUCGACCGUGAAAUCUCCGGGCUUAACCCGGAAAGGUCAGCCGAUACUGCGGGGCUAGAGUGCAGAAGGGGCAACUGGAAUUCUCGGUGUAGCGGUGAAAUGCGUAGAUAUCGAGAGGAACACCUGCGGCGAAGGCGGGUUGCUGGGCUGACACUGACGCUGAUGCGCGAAAGCUAGGGGAGCAAACGGG
rnacentral:rRNA from 1 species